rnacentral:rRNA from 1 species
AUGUUCAGCGCGGCGUGUCGCAUCAGCCUAGGCGAUGGAGAUCGAGCAAGAUUUUGGACUGACAACUGGCUCCCGGAUGGUCAGUCUAUUGCUAAAUUGGCGCCGGAGCUGUUUUCCUUUAUUAGGAAAAGGGAUAGAUCGGUGAAAGAUGCCCUGCUAGGCCGGGCCUGGGUCCAUGACAUCUCAGGUGGCUUAACACUUAUAGCUUUGGCCCAAUAUCUGAAGAUCUGGGACAUUGUUCAGGCCACGUCUCUAGUUUCAGGUACUAGGGACCGGCCAAUCUGGAAGCUCACUCAUGAUCACCAGUUCUCGGUCAAGAGUGCAUAUCAAUUGUUCUUCCUCGGGAACGUAAGGUUCGCUUGUCACAAGCUGAUCUGGAGAUCCAAAGCGCCGCCGCGGUGCAAAUUUUUCAUGUGGCUUGCUAUACACAGAAGAUGUUUGACGGCAGAUAAUUUGGAAUGA